rnacentral:rRNA from 1 species
AGUCUGACGGAGCAACGCCGCGUGAACGAUGAAGGCUUUCGGGUCGUAAAGUUCUGUUGUUAGGGAAGAACAAGUACCGGAGUAACUGCCGGUACCUUGACGGUACCUAACCAGAAAGCCACGGCUAACUACGUGCCAGCAGCCGCGGUAAUACGUAGGUGGCAAGCGUUGUCCGGAAUUAUUGGGCGUAAAGCGCGCGCAGGCGGUUCCUUAAGUCUGAUGUGAAAGCCCCCGGCUCAACCGGGGAGGGUCAUUGGAAACUGGGGAACUUGAGUGCAGAAGAGGAGAGCGGAAUUCCACGUGUAGCGGUGAAAUGCGUAGAGAUGUGGAGGAACACCAGUGGCGAAGGCGGCUCUCUGGUCUGUAACUGACGCUGAGGCGCGAAAGCGUGGGGAGCGAACAGGAUUAGAUACCCUGGUAGUCCACGCCGUAAACGAUGAGUGCUAAGUGUUAGAGGGUUUCCGCCCUUUAGUGCUGCAGCAAACGCAUUAAGCACUCCGCCU